GACGAACGCUGGCGGCGUGCCUAAUACAUGCAAGUCGAACGCACUCUCGUUUAGAUUGAAGGAGCUUGCUCCUGAUUGAUAAACAUUUGAGUGAGUGGCGGACGGGUGAGUAACACGUGGGUAACCUGCCCUAAAGUGGGGGAUAACAUUUGGAAACAGAUGCUAAUACCGCAUAAAACCUAAACACCGCAUGGUGUAGGGUUGAAAGAUGGUUUCGGCUAUCACUUUAGGAUGGACCCGCGGUGCAUUAGUUAGUUGGUGAGGUAAAGGCUCACCAAGACCGUGAUGCAUAGCCGACCUGAGAGGGUAAUCGGCCACACUGGGACUGAGACACGGCCCAGACUCCUACGGGAGGCAGCAGUAGGGAAUCUUCCACAAUGGACGAAAGUACUGAUGGAGCAACGACCGCGUGAGUGAAGAAGGUUUCGGAUCGUAAAACUCUAGUUGUUGGAGAAGAAUAGUAUCUGAUAGUAACUG
rnacentral:rRNA from 1 species